AUCUGUUCUUAUCAGUUUAAUAUCUGAUACGUCCCCUACCCGGGGACCAUAUAUUAAAUUGACUUUUGGAGCAGGGACAUGGAAUAGGGGCUUGCUCCGUCCACUCCACGCAUCGACCUGGUAUUGCAGUAUUUCUAGGAACGGUGC
ensembl:snRNA U2 U2 spliceosomal RNA